GCUGAUCAUCAAGUGUCAAUUAAAAUCAGCUGAGUUACAAAGUGGAUUUGCAAUUGUAAAAUAGUGCGGGUGUUGAAAUUUUGUAAUAACUGAAGUAAAAACUCAUAAAAUAUAUAAAAAACGGAAAUUUUGAACAUGCAAAGAACUGCAGGCGAAUGUGGACAGCUGGAGCGACGAUGAUGAGCUUGGACGGCAUGCAGACAAAAUCAAUAUAGUCCUUAUGCCACCAGACGGUAUUGAUGCGAUCAGUGACAAUCUUGAAGACGACGAAGACAUCAGUUAGCAGUAAUCUAAAUUAAAACGGGAUCUCACUGAUGGUGAAGUUUUUGCGAAUGUUGAAAUACAACCACCGAAAUGGCGUCGUAACAAAAAUUACAAGUUUGAGAAUCCACAUGUCGAGAAACUCACUCAGAAAUUAUAUGGAAAAAUUGGAUCAGUAACUCCGCUCCAGGUUUGGGAAUGAUUCAUGGACAAAGAGAGAGCUUCAGCUAAUUGUAGACUAGACAAAUAAGUAUGCAUCACAAAACAAUGUGUACGGCUUUUUUUACAUCAAUUCAAGAGAUUCGAACUUUUAUUUGCAUACUUUUUAUGACUGGUUAUCACACGUUGCCACAAAUUGAUGUGUCGUUUAAAUACGCUUGGAUAUUUUACAACUGGCCCUUUUUGUGACAAUCGCAUCAAUCGUGCUCCUUUAUGAGACAUGAAAGAAAUGAAGAAGUCACAGGGACCAUCCCUCAAUUUUGUAUUCGACAAAACUAAUAACAUAUUAACAUAGCUGUGAGCUGGAACUGUAAUUCUGCAAUAACCAGAUUUUCAAACUAUUCCAUUCAGUGACUCCUUUUUGAUUGCCUUUUAUAUUCUACAGGUAGUAGUAGUACUACAUUGAUGAGUAAUUUUUUUCAGAUAUUCCAAUGUGUCGUGCUAAAAGAUACGAUCGGAAAAAUCGAAAAAUGAUGAUUAUUGACCAACCCUUCUUAAUACUCGAAUAUAAUCAUCGGAUGGGGGGCUUAUUCGUUGACUCAUUCGACAAUGCUAUGAACAACUACCGCAUUAAGGUACAUGGAAAGAAAUGGUACUGGCCGUUGCUUAUCAAUGCAUUCGAUGCAGUAGUGGUAAAUAAGUGGAAACUAAAAAUUGUAUGUGCAAAAUAUGAUAAUGCUAAAGUUAUGAGUCAAACUGACUUCCGCGUGGAAAUUGCCGAAGCUUUAAUAAAUCAAUCCGUUCCAUGACGAUCUCGUGGAGGGCGUAAUGCCGUAAUCUCGAGAAUAUCAGUAAAUGUACAGACGUCUUCGAUCAUUGAAUAUCAAAACUGGACAAACGUUGCCACCAAUGUUGAGGAAAAACUCAGUUUGGUAGCAGAAAAUGUUAUGUAAUGCUUCAUCCAAAACAACGACAUAAUGGGGAAGAAUUUAGAUUAAAACGAUUAAAAAUAUGUAUUUAAACAAAAAAUAAAGUUUUAUUUCACUCAUUUUUGUCAGCA